CACCAGCGCCUCGAGUGGGGAUCGCGAUUAUUGGGCCUAAAGCGUCCGUAGCCGGCUUUGUAGAUCCUUUGUGAAAUGGGCAGGCCUAACCUGUCCGCGUGCAGAGGAGACCGCAGAGCUUGAGACCGGGAGAGGUCAGAAGUAUUCUUAGGGUACCGGUAAAAUGGGUUAAUCCUGAGAGGACUACCAAUGGCGAAGGCAUCUGACCGGAACGGUUCUGACUGUGAGGGACGAAAGCUAGGGGAGCAAAACGG
rnacentral:rRNA from 1 species